AGCGCUUGAUUUCUAAGUAAAAUUCGGAACAAGAUUGAGAGCCAACCUGUGUAAAAGCAGGCCUGUAAUUUGCAACAAUCUGAUGAGAAACUGCGUUGAAAGAUUAUAAUUAGCAAGAACCUAUUUUUGAUUCAUAAUCCAGGCUUCUUUACCUCAACCAAGCUUUCCAAACGGCUUCUCAUCCUUCGUUGCACAAAGCCUUUGGUGCACUGUUAGAGAAUCAAAAUGAUUGUUAAGAUUUUCAAAUUGGUUCCAUACGGUCUUGUCUAGUUUCUUGCCUUCAACGUGUCGCGGGGAUAUUUCUGUCAUUAUUAACCCCAAUGUACAGAAAAUUUCAUAGGUUGAAGGAUGCUUUUGUGAAUGCCAACUAUCUUUUCUUGUGAUAGGGAUCAAGAAGGCCGUUUGAAGCAUAAUUUACCUUUCUUCCGUGGAAUUUUAGCAAAGUUGAGCUUUAGAGUUAGCU